AUAAUUGCUGUUUACUAAUUUGUAUUUGUGAACAAAUAUGCCCCUUUUCCACCGGCUCUACUUCAGCAGCCUGACUCUACUUCAGAGUGACCGCCUUUCCACCGUCUGUCUCAGCUCUGUAGCAGAGUGACGCCUCCUGGUGGUGGUGGGGGGGGGGGGGAUAGCACCCCGCCUCCAGGCACAGUGCUUCUGUUUCUUACCGUGUGACCUAACGCGAGUUGUUGUUUUUCUGAAACAAAAGAAGAGGAGAAAGCUGAACUAUUGUUUUAUAGCCUGUGAUUGUGAUUUUUCUGAGACUUCAAGAAAAUGUGCGGUGAGAGGAAUGCUGCGAUGUGGCCAGGAGGACAACUGAUCUCUGCUGACUUCCCACCUGAGGAAAGCAGGUGGCUCAGACGGUGCAGAUGUUGGUUAUAUGCCGCUGCAGACCAUCAGUGAGGUUCUUCCUUCAGCCUCUGAGUUGUAGGAUCUCAUCAGUGUCCGUCUUCCUGACUGCUGGUUGGUGUUUACCUUCAGGAUGUCCAGAGACCUUCACCUUUCUGGAGCAGGAAUCACAUGAGCUCAAUAUGCUGAUGAAACAUUUCUGAUAAAAAAAUAUGUCUGUUGUUCUUACAGAGUUGAAGUGCAAUAACAAUCUGUUGUUUUUAACUUCUCAAUACGUUUAAUUAUGAUUCAUCUGACGUUCAAGUUAUACUGAGAACAAAUAAAGCCAUAUUUCUUCUAA